UCCUCUGUAAAGCUUUGUGGGAUUUCUUAAGAUUAGCAAACGUCAGGGUUGGAGAGAAGGCUCAGCGGUUACAAGCUCUGACUGCUAUUCUGAGGGUCCUAGAGGGGAGGUAGAAAGUGCAGUCCAUGAGAUAGUGCACUAUGGUACUAAGGAGCUUAAUGAGUUUACUAAUUCAUACCAGCAGAAGUCUGGGGAAUGUGUGGGAAUGGAUCUUAAGGGUGUGGGAUAAUGGAAUGGAAUAACAGAGGAACACAACUAGAUCAGGCUGAGUUUACUGACAUGGACCCUCAGAGUGGAGAUUCUAAGUUUAAUAUGGAAGCUUGCACAGUUAAAAGAGGUGUCAGACGUUUGAUUGAUUGGUUGGCUGAAGUGUUUAUCAGAGGACAGCCUACUGAAAAGGAGUUGGAGAUGCCUGAUAUUCCCUGGUUUCGUGUUGAUGAAGGGAUUUUAAGGCUCAGGGAAACUAUAGCCUUAACUGCACCUAUAGCCUCACGGAUGUUCCCUAUGAUCAGUUGACUGAGGAAAAGAGAACUAGGACCUGGGUUACCAAUGGUUCUGCAGGCUAUGCAGGCACCACCCAGAAGUGGACAGCUGCAAUAUUACAACCCCGUGUUGGGACAACCCUGGUGAAGGGAAAUCUUCACAGAGGGUAGAACUUUGGUAGCACACGUGGUAGUACAGUUUGUUUGAAAGAAGAAGUA
rnacentral:lncRNA from 1 species